rnacentral:lncRNA from 1 species
UGAAACAUGGCCACUAAUGAACGGGGCACAGCGGCACCGGGCCACAGGACAAGAAGCUAAUUUGGAAUUGCAAGAGGAAGUUAAGGAGGUGAAAUAGGCAGGUCCCAAGGCAGUUAAGGCUGCAUUUCUCCCUGUGUCAUAAGUGACCUGUUAAAUCAAAAGGGGAGGGGGGCUUGCUGGAGCCUCUCCGAGGUAUGGAUACUCCCCCACCCAAGCUUGGAGUCUUGACUUUCCAGGCAAGAGCUCAAGGCCACCUUGGCUGCCUUUUCUCUCUGCCUCUCCCACUCCUGGCAUGAUAACAGCUCCCGGCGAAGGACAGUUUGCACAGUUAUCUGCAGUGGCUUCUCCUCAAUCUUUGCAUGGAGUCCCUGGCUGGGGCACUGCCAGGUGUGGGCUGAGCCUCGCUACCAGCUCCCAUCUGGCCCUUUGGUUUAACAGCUUUUCCCUCAAGGCUGUAACCAAGCUCCUGGGCAAGCGCCAGCGCUCUGAGGCACGGGUGCUGCUCUACAGGAGGACAGAGCAUGGGCACUGGCCAGCUGGCUUAGCAAGUCUGAGUCCUGCUCCACCAAGAUCGACUUCAGCCAGGGGUGGAGCGGGAAUCCUGCAUCGGGGCUAG